CAAAGCCUGGAGUCAUUGUGCUUCUCAAAUGCGCUUCUUUCACCGCGAGACAAAGAGCAGCUUCCACUUCAAACGCAUGUUAUUGCUCUCCAUGAGAACUUUCACACCUUACACGUCACAAUCUGACACUGCGCAACAACUCAUGAAGGCAGUCAUGUGUCCAAAGGCCUUUUAGGUGGAAGAAAAUGGUUCUCAAAUUGUGGUGCGUGUUCUACUGUAUUGACCAGGAAAGCCAGUGUCCAACAACCAGCAGCAAAACACAUGGACCGGAUCUUACUGUCUGACCGGACUGGACUGGACUUGGUUUGCCUGUGUGAGUAGAGAGAUAGAUUUAUUUAUUUUUUCCUUUUUUGUUUAUUCAUUCAUUCUAUCUUCGUGCCGUGUCGUGCUGUCCCAUGCCCCAAAUAACAAACUGAAUUCACCUUUUUAUACUUAUACUAUACUUAUACUUUAUGCUUCUUCUCUGAGAAGUCAGAAAUUAAUCAAGCAUAACCUUCAACCAGGAAUCCAAGUAAAUAACUAUAAUUUGACAUCUUUUUGCCAAUGCUGUUAAAGUAGGGCAGUUGUGUCUAAUACAACAUUAAUCCUCAACUUAGAGGAGCUAAACUUUAAAAAUUUUGUUUUUUACGGGAUGUUUCCUCUCUAUAAAAGCAAAACAGUCACGGUAUUGUUCAAACGGCGAAACUAAGACGUGCUGUGUGAAGAGGAAAAGGGAGUCAGAGUGGAGUCAGGAACUCCAGCCAGCACUGACUGGUUUCCAGCCGUUAAGAUUCUCUGUGCUAAUUGGGACGAUGAGCUCUGUGAACCCCCCCCUCCAUCUCCAGCCUGGGUUUUUUUUCCCAGGACUCCGGCUGCUUCUGUCUCUGUCCCUCAAUGGGAUUAUGUUUGCAGAGAGGAGGAAGAGGAGGGAGGGAGGAUGGGGGAGAACUCUGAUCACAUCAGAAA